rnacentral:rRNA from 1 species
UGCGUAGGUGGUCGUUUAAGUCCGUUGUGAAAGCCCUGGGCUCAACCUGGGAACUGCAGUGGAUACUGGGCGACUAGAGUGUGGUAGAGGGUAGCGGAAUUCCUGGUGUAGCAGUGAAAUGCGUAGAGAUCAGGAGGAACAUCCAUGGCGAAGGCAGCUACCUGGACCAACACUGACACUGAGGCACGAAAGCAUGGGGAGCAAACA